CAGCAGUAGCCGCGGGAAUACGGAGGGUGCAAGCGUUAAUCGGAAUUACUGGGCGUAAAGCGCACGCAGGCGGUCUGUCAAGUCAGAUGUGAAAUCCCCGGGCUUAACCUGGGAACUGCAUUUGAUACUGGGAAGCUAGAGUAUGGGAGAGGAUGGUAGAAUUCCAGGUGUAGCGGUGAAAUGCGUAGAGAUCUGGAGGAAUACCGAUGGCGAAGGCAGCCAUCUGGCCUAAUACUGACGCUGAGGUACGAAAGCAUGGGGAGCAAACAGGAUUAGAUACCCCUGUAGUCCCUGUCUCUUAUAA
rnacentral:rRNA from 1 species